UACGGGGGGGGCAAGCGUUGUUCGGAAUUACUGGGCGUAAAGGGCUCGUAGGCGGCCAACUAAGUCGGAUGUGAAAUCCCCAGGCUUAACCUGGGAACUGCAUCCGAUACUGGAUGGCUUGAAUCCGGGAGAGGGAUGCAGAAUUCCAGGUGUAGCGGUGAAAUGCGUAGAUAUCUGGAGGAAUACCGGUGGCGAAGGCGGCAUCCUGGACCAUAACUGACGCUGAGGCGCGAAAGCUAGGGGAGCAAACGGG
rnacentral:rRNA from 1 species